ACGGGAGGCAGCAGUGGGGAAUAUUGGACAAUGGGGGAAACCCUGAUCCAGCGACGCCGCGUGAGUGAAGAAGUAUUUCGGUAUGUAAAGCUCUAUCAGCAGGGAAGAUAAUGACGGUACCUGACUAAGAAGCCCCGGCUAACUACGUGCCAGCAGCCGCGGUAAUACGUAGGGGGCAAGCGUUAUCCGGAUUUACUGGGUGUAAAGGGAGCGUAGACGGCAUGGCAAGUCUGAUGUGAAAGCCCGGGGCUCAACUCCGGUACUGCAUUGGAAACUGUAUAACUAGAGUGUCGGAGGGGUAAGUGGAAUUCCUAGUGUAGCGGUGAAAUGCGUAGAUAUUAGGAGGAACACCAGUGGCGAAGGCGGCUUACUGGACGAUUACUGACGCUGAGGCUCGAAAGCGUGGGGAGCAAACAGGAUUAGAUACCCUGGUA
rnacentral:rRNA from 1 species